rnacentral:rRNA from 1 species
AUUGAACGCUGGCGGCAGGCCUAACACAUGCAAGUCGAGCGGAUGAAGGGAGCUUGCUCCUGGAUUCAGCGGCGGACGGGUGAGUAAUGCCUAGGAAUCUGCCUGGUAGUGAGGGAUAACGUCCGGAAACGGGCGCUAAUACCGCAUACGCCCUGAGGGAGAAAGUGGGGGAUCUUCGGACCUCACGCUAUCAGAUGAGCCUAGGUCGGAUUAGCUAGUUGGUGGGGUAAAGGCCUACCAAGGCGACGAUCCGUAACUGGUCUGAGAGGAUGAUCAGUCACACUGGAACUGAGACACGGUCCAGACUCCUACGGGAGGCAGCAGUGGGGAAUAUUGGACAAUGGGCGAAAGCCUGAUCCAGCCAUGCCGCGUGUGUGAAGAAGGUCUUCGGAUUGUAAAGCACUUUAAGUUGGGAGGAAGGGCAGUAAGUUAAUACCUUGCUGUUUUGACGUUACCAACAGAAUAAGCACCGGCUAACUUCGUG